GACGAACGCUGGCGGCGUGCUUAACACAUGCAAGUCGAACGAAGAGCGACGGAAGCUUGCCUCUAUCAAUCUUAGUGGCGAACGGGUGAGUAACGCGUAAUCAACCUGCCCUUCAGAGGGGGACAACAGUUGGAAACGACUGCUAAUACCGCAUACGAUCUAAUCUCGGCAUCGAGGAUAGAUGAAAGGUGGCCUCUACAUGUAAGCUAUCACUGAAGGAGGGGAUUGCGUCUGAUUAGCUAGUUGGAGGGGUAACGGCCCACCAAGGCGAUGAUCAGUAGCCGGUCUGAGAGGAUGAACGGCCACAUUGGGACUGAGACACGGCCCAGACUCCUACGGGAGGCAGCAGUGGGGAAUCUUCCGCAAUGGACGAAAGUCUGACGGAGCAACGCCGCGUGAGUGAUGACGGCCUUCGGGUUGUAAAGCUCUGUUAAUCGGGACGAAAGGCCUUCUUGCAAAUAGUGAGAAGGAUUGACGGUACCGGAAUAGAAAGCCACGGCUA
rnacentral:rRNA from 1 species